ACCACACUUUCUAAUGGGAAUGUAUUCAUUUUUCUGCAGCUGUAAUGAGAAAGAUGUUUCCUGUUUCUUUUCCAGGGUAGCAUUCUCAAAGUUAAGCCCCGAGAUUCUGUUCAAAAUUACCCCAAAACAGACCAGAUUUCAGAACCCUACCACAAUCACUCUGUGAAAGAAAAAGAGCCCAGCUUGUCAACAGCGGAGGCCAUUGUGGAGCCCCAUGGGAAGAAUCACAUUGUAUCAUGUUUUCAUGGAAAGGGCAGCAAUACAUCUUCUAGCAGGUUGAACCAAGGGCAAACAACAGGAGAAAAUAAAAAUGAAGAGAAGGGUAAAGUCAGUUAUUUCUAUUUUUCCCUCUUUAUGUUUUUCUUUUGUGUUGUGUGUGUGUGUGUGUGUGUGUUAUUUUUGUUUUGUCUUGUGUUGUUUUGCUACAUCUUAAGCUGUAAUGUGGCUACAUUACACACUGGAUGGCCCUUCCAUUUUGGAAGCCUAAACUUAUUGUAUGGGAAAGCUACAUUGAAAUAGACCAGUGCUAGCCUAUUGCUGGUUUUACCAGUCAUCCCAAUUCAGAUGCCAGAAAUGGAAACUGAGCCACCUUGACUCCUCUAUAUCAGCACAUUUAUCAGCUGAAUAUUACCAAAUUUAAUGUGAUAUGGAUCCAAAUAAUUGCUCAACUGAGCUUUACUAAAAUUCCCGACAUAAUAUUUUUAAACUACUAAAUUUCAGAUCAGUUUGUUACAUAACAAUAAAUAACAAGCAGAAAUUGGUAACAGAAUUGGAGUGUUUUAAAAAUGCCUGAAAGGUAUAACACUGUUUUAUAAUAGUGGCAGGUGGAAACUAAAAGGUCCUGAAAGAGAAUGUUCACAAUAGUUGUAGGGGCCUCAGUAAGGCUGUUGUUGAAGGCUUGAAGGUGAGUGAGAAAAAUGGCCUUGGAGUCUGAAGAAAACAGAAACAUUCUAAUGAAAUAGCAGAAAUUUGUCAAAACUGUUUGCUGUUUGCUAUAUAACAUAGAAAAUAAAAAAAAAUGAUCUCAUAAACUUUUGUAUCUCACAAGGGAUAUUUCAGGCAUUAUCAAAGAAAUCCCCUAGUCUUCUAGCUUCCAAUGAUAAAAUAUGAGAAAUAGUGAAUUAAAUAAGUAUUGGUUUAGUUUUUGAAAAAUAUUAGAGAAAAUACACCAGCAAAACUUGCUGGUUUUACAAAUGCGACUGGUUCUCAUAUCCAUUUUUUUGUUGCAAAAGACUUUUAAAUUAAGAAAUGGAAUAAAAGUGAAGAUCAAGUCCAAGGUGACACCAGUAAACAUAGCCUGAGGGUUAAAAUUUCAUCUGUGUGGCUGUAAGAGCCUUUGUGCAGACCCCAGAAAAAUUCACGGGCCUAUCCAAUAUGGCAUUUAAAUCUCUUAAGGGUAUUGUAAAAUAGCAC
rnacentral:lncRNA from 1 species